rnacentral:lncRNA from 1 species
GUCCAUCGCUGCCUGAGGUUUCACAGAAGAACAUGCACCGAACAGAUCCCUCUGUUCUGCUAAAAAUAGGCUAUAAAGGAGUCGGCCUCAUGAUGGCUCCUUGAUUCAAUUUGCUGCAAAUUCUUUCCUGAAAGCCUCCCCCCACAUCCACACACACAGCAAAAGGGGGUGUCAGUGCACGAAGGGUGGAAGAGGGGGAGAAGGCCGAGGUGCACAUUUUCGGGGACCACAACAUCCUAAGGGUACAGGCAACAGGAUUAAAGAAGAGGGAAUCCAAAGAGGACGGCCCUUUGAUGUCAGGCAACCUGGUUACCAUCUCGGAAGGCUCUAAUCACCUGUCUGAGCUUGGCACAGAUCUCUGAUGCCUGAGGGAGAAACUGGCAAGAAUAUGAUCAGAACCAAAGCAGAUGCCUGUCCUGAGAAAAGGGAACAUAAUUUUUAGUGAUCUCGAAUGUUCAGGCAGCACUUCAGUCUCCUGCUAGUCACUGUGGGAGAUUUCCAGAUCUAGUCAGUAUCAAGAGACUCCGAGGGGAACAAUGCAGGAGAGCCGCCUCCAGCCUGGCUGUGAUAGCCCUCCCCACAUCUGGAAAAAAU